rnacentral:lncRNA from 1 species
UAUCCUUGAGCCAAACACUCUUUCAAGCCACUACAUCAAAAACAUGGACAACUUACUUUUAAACAGUUUAUUACAUUUCAUUUGAACAAUGAGGGAAAACACAAUUACAACAAGUGAAAGACAUAAGUAGAAUGACCACAGUUAAAGAGCUGACUAUUCAUUUUGGCACUCCCUCUUCCUGUGGCUCAAAUUAUCCUGGCUCAGCCAAAGAGGAAGGAUAUUUCUGCAAUGCAUAUUCUUUAAAAUCUCCAUAGGGGUGGGUACACUCCUUCACAUAAUCACUUUUGAAUUAACCUUAUAAAAUAAACUUUCCCCUAUUAGGAUGUUCUUAACUAGUUUUGAUUUGCAUAAAUACAUUAUGUUAGUCUGUGAUCAAAUAAAUACGAUGCAGAGCUAGUGUGCAAAGUUUAAGAUGGACUCUUUAAUGCUAUCCAUUGUAACAUUGUGGGAGAUGCUGUGGUAUUGUAGUCACCAUCCAGCAGCCAAAUACACACAGUGUGAAGUGUCUUUUGUGGUCCCACAGACCAAAUACAAAACUGUAAAAAUACAUAGCUAGUUAAAAAAAAGGACAAACAUGGAAAUGGUCACAAAUGUAGUUGUCAAUCCUCAGCCAAACUGCAACACCCAGUCCAGCAUACCAUUGGUUUAGGUCAAUGUCUCUCCUUUUGUGACCUAAACAGAAAAAGGGGGUUAGAGAACACAUUAUGAUGACAUCCAGUACUGUACAGGCAAAACAAACUGGAAACAUUUCAUGUAUUUACAACAUAGAAUUAGAGUGGCAAUUCUGAAACUUACCCUUGCUUCAAUGUACUCAAUUCUCCGCUCUAAUGCUGUCAGCUUUUCGUUCAGGGUGGCCAAACGAGACCGGCAGGACAUCGAAGGAAUUUAGAAAAUCUGCAAUUUUCUUGAUACUGCUCGUGAUAACCUCAAUGUAUUCUCGAUUUGCCCAGUCUUGGUGGAUCUCCCUCUGCACAGGAUCUUCUUGACCGGCCAUUUUCUCUGUUUUGAGGAAGCUGUGUUAGCGCUAGCUACCAGCAGGUAGCGACAGUUCCCUGAAAAGUGAACUACUUCUUUGGUGGGAUUUAUCGGCAUCCAACUUUAUGGUGCAUUAUCGCUGCCUACUGUAUUGGAGGUUGGGCCAGAGACGGGGAGAAACUAAAUCCUACCUGCCUGCCCCGUUUCUCUUAAAAUAUUAACUAUUUGAGACUGUAUCUAAUGACGUUCUACUCAAUAUACUCUUUAAACGAAUGUCAUGUAUCCCCUUCAUAUUAGAUCUAUGCCUCUAUUUCCCUAUUACUGCCCACACUAUCAAUACAUGCUCCACUGUCUGUUUCCUGGCAAUAAUUACACUUUCCUAUUGGAUGCUUUCUUAUCACAUUUAAAGUAUUAUUU